rnacentral:lncRNA from 1 species
GGGGGGGGGCCGUGCCCCCCUGCAGGGCCGAGCCCCCGCAGCAUCAAACCCGCUGGGUGCGAGCAGACCCCGCGAGCCCACAGGCCCUGGGUUGAAGGGCAGGAGCGGCGUUUUUGCAGCUUUUUUGCCUUUUUUUUUUUUUUAAUUAUUAUUUUUAACGCCCCCACCCGCCCCCCAACGCACGCACACUCGCAUCCCCAGGACACCCCAGAAGUUUGGGGCACCCUGGGCAGCUCCGCUCUUUGUUCGGGCUCUGGCCGCGGCCCUCCCGGCCUCCCUCCGGACCUCGCCACCGGCCUGGCGGCAAACGCCUCCCUCCUGCGAGGAGCCCUCAGCCUGGCGGGAUGGUUGCGAACCCAAGGGAAUUUUCUAAUGGCUAAAUGGUUUCUUCGGGUUGAUCGACCACCAGAAAGCUGCUGCUUGCCUUCACCUCCCAUUCCUGCUCCGGGAAGCCUGCAGGACGGGUCUGUAAGUCUCCGAGCGAUGGCUGAUACUCCAGCAUAGGUCGUGCAUACCCAGAAGUCUUGCUUUUGGGGCUGCGGGAGAACACCUGAAGGACAGCAGCUCCCUGAGCACCCCCCAAACGGUAAAGUGGCUUCAUUUUAUAUUAACAGGGCAAUGAUAUAUAUUAAUUGACAGGAACAUGGUGACCUCAGUGGGGCUUUAUUUGGGGGAUUUCUGCUCUUUCCUGGUACCCCUGUAAUUAUGUUGCCUCUUCCCUUCUUCAGUGAGCAUUUAGAGGGGAAUUACAUAUUUUUGCUGAGUUUUCUGUUAUUUAUUUAUUUAUUUUUGAAAUCAGGCAGCUCAGGGAAUCUUGCUUUAAAGCUCAAGUAUUGAGAACACGUUGUUAAAAGCCAUAAAGCCAUGGCUAGCCUAGAGCAAAACACAGAUUUCUAUUUAAAAAUACCCAAAAUAUGGGCUGUUAUCACUGUAAAAUAUUGGCAGAUCAGUAGGAUAUGGAGAAAUGGUCACCAGUUAAAAAUAACUUGAACACAGAGCUUAAAAUAAGAUGUAUAUGAAACCAAGGGUCUCAGAGUUCUUUAGUCAGACCCAAUCACUAAAAUUAGGGCUUGACAGAGUGACAAAUGUGUUAGCUCUGUGCCAAAACUGUAGGCACCCAGAGGGUGACAAAGAAAAUAAAACUCUGUUGGCUGCAACUUUCCUCCUAACG